CCUACGGGAGGCAGCAGUGGGGAAUAUUGGGCAAUGGAGGAAACUCUGACCCAGCAACGCCGCGUGAAUGAUGAAGGUCUUCGGAUUGUAAAGUUCUUUUCUAAGGGAAGAAGAAAGUGACGGUACCUUAGGAAUAAGCCUCGGCUAACUACGUGCCAGCAGCCGCGGUAAUACGUAGGAGGCGAGCGUUAUCCGGAAUGACUGGGCGUAAAGGGUGCGUAGGUGGUUUGACAAGUUAGUAGCGUAAUUCCGGGGCUCAACUUCGGAACUACUACUAAAACUGUUGGGCUUGAGUGCAGGAGAGGUGAAUGGAAUUCCGAGUGUAGCGGUGGAAUGCGUAGAUAUUAGGAGGAACCCCAGCGGCGAAAGCGAUUCACUGGACUGUAACUGACACUGAGGCACGAAAGCGUGGGGAGCAAACAGGAUUAGAUACCCGUGUAGUC
rnacentral:rRNA from 1 species